UCACGUGUCCGGAGGGUCCGACAGUAGGUCUCUCCUUUUGCCUGCGGCGUGAGUGCAGAGUGCGAACUGUGGCGGCCGGAGUCAUGGCAGGACAGGCAUUUAGAAAGUUUCUUCUCCUCUUUGACCGAGUAUUAGUUGAAAGAAGUGCAGCCGAAACUGUAACCAAAGGAGGCAUUAUGCUUCCAGAAAAAUCACAAGGAAAAGUAUUGCAAGCAACGGUGGUAGCUGUUGGAUCAGGCUCUAAAGGAAAGGGUGGAGAGAUUCAACCAGUUAGUGUGAAAGUUGGAGAUAAAGUUCUUCUCCCAGAAUAUGGAGGCACCAAAGUAGUUCUAGACGACAAGGAUUAUUUCUUAUUUAGAGAUGGUGACAUUCUUGGGAAAUAUGUUGACUGAAAUAAGUCACUAUUGAAAUGGCAUCACAUGAAGCUGCCCAUUCCACUGAAGUUCUGAAAUCUUUCAUCAUGUAAAUAAUUUCCAUGUUUCUCUUUUAUAAUAAACUAAGGAUAUCCAAGCUAAUGACACCCAGUGUUUAAAAUUUAGUUUCACUGCACUGGUAUAAACAUUUCCAAAUAAAAAAAUAUAAAU